CCUAGAGGUUGAGGUUCUGACUGGGGAGCAGAAGGAGAACCCAAGAAAAGCUGACUUGGAGGUCCCUCCUUCUGUCCCCACAGGACUUUGGCCUGGAUGUGCCUGCUUUCCG
ensembl:miRNA